AUUUGAUUUAUUAAAUUAUAGUUUAUACACAAUACAAUGUAUCUGUUAUCAAUGAUUUCAGCAGGCAGGUAUCUAGUCUAUUCUUAGGCAAUUACAUAACAUCUAUUUUUAGCUUAGUAGGAAUAGUGCCCUAGAGGGGGGUUAGAGUAUUGUUGAUGAAUUGAGAGGAAGCAUCGUUGUAUUUGAUGCAUUACAAUCAGUUAUUUUACUGUUUUCGAACCAUAUUCGAAAUUGUUUUAUUUUUUAUGUUAACGGAUAUUGACAUGGAUAUACGUUUCUUUGGAAUAGUGAUUGGAUAUUGUACAUUUGAUUGAGUAAUUGUUAUCACUUCAAUAUCACUUUCCAAGUGCGUGCUAUGGGUACGCGCCCAGGUAACACAGAUAAUCGUAUUAUGAUCUUUAAUAUUUCGAAACUGGAUUAACUCUUCUUGUAGAGUUGAGAACAAGAACAUAGAUGUCCAGCUCACGCUAUGAGAUGACUGAUUGACCUUAUUUCGAUAUCGAGACAUUCGGCCAUGACAGCAUUUUCAAGUGCGCGAUCCCACAUUGCAACGCAUAUAUGUAAACAAUAACAAUAAUUGGAAUAGAACUACGAUUGAGUAGACUAAGUGUGUAAACGUUCAUUCAAUAUUUAAUACACAUCUUGAUUAAUAAAUAACUGUUUGUCAGCAUUUUCCAAAAUGUCAGUAUCAUUACAAGUUUCCCGUACGUUAUGCCCGCCAGUUUUAUCGCUACAUGUAUGUCGACGGCAUUCAAUAUUCCAUAAACACUACGUUUGAACUCAUGCUAUAUCAGUAUACACACUAGCUAUGUAUACACAUUCCAUUUGCCUUAAUGCUUACUUUCUUUGAUAAGCAGCCGAUAAGCAUGUUUCUACCGCCCAGGCUCAGGAGUCAAUGAUCGUGAUACAUGAGAUAUAUACGAUAUGUUAUGGUUAUUAUGCACAACCUCUGCCUCUGGCGGACACUUGUUUCAACGUAGAAUAUAUAGUUCCAGAUUAGUCCUUACAUUGUAUAAAUUCAGCAGUUCUUCAACACUAGCACAAGGACUGAGGGAACGCUUAGAUCAUACAGAACACUUCGGGUUUACCAUAUACUAGUAUACAGGUUUAUCAUAUACUACUGCAGAGUAGAGUGUGAAGAGCAGCAUGGAGAUUCGAGGACAUGUAUACUCAAGCACAUAUAUGUCUGAACUUCUUAAGGAUAUGCAACUGAAUGUAUUGUAUUGGUGGAAACUUUGCCUUUGUUAAGUAUAAGAAAAUACAGAUACAGAUACAGAUAUUAAAACCUUCGUUUUUCGGAUGAAGACUUCAGAACUUUAUAGCACCGUUAUAUAUGAGACAAACAAUACCCUGAUGCCUGCCUUCAUAUAUAGUAUAAUGUGUUAGACAACAGUUCAACUUUUGUUUAUUUUAACUUAUCGUUUUCGGAUGCAGAAUUCAGAACUAUUAAGCAAUAGACAUGAGGAUAGCUAUAUCUUGAUGCAGACUUCAGAACUAUAUAGCACCGUUUAUAUAAGGAGGACGAUACCUUGAUUCAUGCAUUCAUAGUUAAUGUGUCAGAACUACAGUCACACUUCUUUAAACAUUAAACGCAAGAAUUUUAACUACAUGUAUGUAAGACAGAUUUAUUUUAUCCGUCUGGGUAAGAGAGAAGUGAUUAUUGUGAGCACUCUUUCAGAACUAGUAGAGGGUUCGUUCUAAAGCACAACAGGAAGGUGUGGUUAUUGGAAUUAUUGUAUUGUUAAUGUCAUUUUUUUUUUUUUUUUUUUUUUCAUUUUUUUUUUACAUUUGUAUUUGCUACCAUUAUUAUUUCUUGGGGGCUUUCAUUCUUUCAUUUUAUGAACUCAUUUCAUUUGGCUUUUAAUUCCAGGGGAAUCAUACUCCCCCAAUUCAAUAAUACAUCAGAUAGGUUAAUUCCUGUCGAGGAACAAAUUGUAUUUUAAGUAGUAUUUUUACUACGCUGGGAUCGCCCAGGAGCAAUUAGGUUCAUUCUUGUCGAGGAAUGUAGGUUCAUUCCUGGGGAUCGCCCCAGGAAACACAUAGGCUCAUUCCUGGGGAUCGCCCCAGGAAACACAUAGGUUCAUUCCUGGGGAUCGCCCCAGGAAACACAUAGGCUCAUUCCUGGGGAUCGCCCCAGGAAACACAUAGGUUCAUUCCUGGGGAUCGCCCCAGGAAACACAUAGGCUCAUUCCUGGGGAUCGCCCCAGGAAACACAUAGGCUCAUUCCUGGGGAUCGCCCCAGGAAACACAUAGGUUCAUUCCUGGGGAUCGCCCCAGGAACAUUUUUUACUAAUCGCAUAUUUUAAUUUUUCUCAUAUUUUGAUAAGUUUUGAAUUUAUUUUCUCAUAUUUUGAAUAGUUUGAAAUGUUUAUUUCAAUUCUCUUAAGUGAAUGAGUAGCCCCCAGAAAGCCAAUAAUGUAUUAUAUAGUUUGUCAUAUAAUGUAGAAAAAUAUGUACGGUUAUGAUACAGUUUAUUUUAAUAUUUAGUUGUAGUUUUAGUAUGUUUUGAUAUUUGAAUAAUAAAACAUAUAUCUUAAAUUGUGUUGUGUAUAAAAGGAAAUUUGAUUUAUUAAAUUAUAGUUUAUACACAAUACAAUGUAUCUGUUAUCAAUGAUUUCAGCAGGCAGGUAUCUAGUCUAUUCUUAGGCAAUUACAUAACAUCUAUUUUUAGCUUAGUAGGAAUAGUGCCCUAGAGGGGGGUUAGAGUAUUGUUGAUGAAUUGAGAGGAAGCAUCGUUGUAUUUGAUGCAUUACAAUCAGUUAU